CCUACGGGUGGCAGCAGUAGGGAAUUUUCCUCAAUGGGCGCGAGCCUGAUGGAGCAACACAGCGUGAGUGAAGACGGGUUUCGGCUCGUAAAGCUCUGUUGUUGGGGAAGAACAUGCGUGAGAGUAACUGUUCACGCAGUGACGGUAUCCAACCAGACAGUCACGGCUAACUACGUGCCAGCAGCCGCGGUAAUCCGUAGGUGGCAAGCCUUAUCCGGAUUUAUUGGGCGUAAAGCGAGCGCAGGCGGUUGGUUAGGUCUGAUGUGAAAGCCUGCGGCCCAACCGAAGAAGUGCAUCGGAAACUGGGAGACUUGAGUGCAGUAGAGGAGAGCGGAAUUCCAGGUGUAGCGGUGAAAUGCUUAGAUAUAUGGAAGAACACCAGUGGCGAAGGCAGUUCUCUGGACUGCAACUGACGCUGAGGCUCGAAAGCGUGGGUAGCGAACAGGAUUAGAUACCCGAGUAGUC
rnacentral:rRNA from 1 species